rnacentral:lncRNA from 1 species
ACGGGGUAUAAGAAAAAAAAAAAAGAGGAAGAGGGGAGGGAUAGAUACCUAGAUGAAUACUUAUUAUCUGUGUUAAUGAUCCAAAGUCCUGUACAAAACUUUAUUUUUAUUAUUGUUGUUGGUUUAGAGGUUUGUAUUUACAAAAGUUAAUCAUGCAGAUUCUGAAAGAUCGACUGAAGUAAUCUUACAGUUCUGCAAAUUAAACCUUGGCGGCUUAUUCCCUGAUUGGUCACCGAUAUGUGAAGUCACAUAGCAAGACACGAUUACUAAGCAAGUCUCUCCCCACCCCGCCAUCUCUACCCCUCCCACACACCUUGCUAACUUGGCGAAGAUUAUGUAUCGCGGUUGAGUGAGCCAGCGAGGGCACGCAGAGGGUUGGUCGGGCCGGGCUUCCAGACGAUCUCGUCUUGACGAGCGUGACUGCUCAAACGCGCCCGACCACGCAAAGCGUGUAUAACAUAUAACAUAUAUUGUCGAGAUCGCAGUUACGGCAGUCAGGGCAGUGGACCAGCCGGUCAGUCAGAUGGGCGCCGUGCUCAAUGGUCUAUUUACGCUCCUCCGGCACAGGUAGCUUCCUUGUGGUCUACACGCUCUGCCUGCAGGAUGCUGAAGCUUGCUUUGACUCCUCGCGGAACAUUUGACUGUGCAAAUCUGUGGUACUUUUGGUUCAUCCUGUUCUGGGCGUGCAUUGUCGUCUUUGUCAUCAUCGUGUGCAUUGUAAACCGCUGCAACAAGAAAAAAGCACGCGUUGGUUUUCUUCCAGCGGUUCCUACCCUUGCAUCAUGCCAGAAUGACAGCUCGCCACCCCAUUCAAGCACCUCCUGACUAACGCCCUUAGCGGAUAUUUCCCUUGCACAGCAAUGGCUUGGGCAAUGACGAAAGCAGUCCUCAGUUCUUUGGACGCCAAUAGAGUAUGUAAAGCAAGCCGUAUUCAAAGCCGCCACAGACAUUUAAGUUGCAGUUUACUGGCUUAUUUUUAUUAACUACUAAAAACUUUUAAAGCAAAUAUGUGAUGUGUACUCUUGUGAUCCCUAUUAAGGCAGACAUAAUUAACAAUUUGCAAUAACCAAUUAAGGUAUUCCAAAAUUAUUUUACUUUUUUUUAAGGAAAGCAGGGUGGGCGGGGAUGGUGUGAAAGUGGAGUGGAGUGGAGCGCAUUUGAAAUGGCUUUAAAUAUAUCUCAUCCUACAUGGCUAAAACACCAUCUGAAGAUAUAAUUGCUCGACAAGCCAUCUUUAUAUAAAAUUUACCUAUAUUAUGCAGUUGAUAUUAUCAUCAAUUUUACAUGAAAAUAACAAAAGCAAACAUUUUUCAUCUUUAUGUGUGUUAUUUUCAUAGUAUAAAUAUACAAGUCAUGCCAUCUGAUCUUUGAUCAGGAAAGCCAAAAUGAGGGACAUCAAAACUUGAAUUAGACUUUAAAAAACAUUAAUGCAAUCACUUACACUUAUACUCAUUUUUGAUCCUUCUGUAUCUGUGUGUGUAUUUGUACAUUAUACACAAAACAUCUUUUUACAUUUUAUUUAUGCAGAAUAAAUUUUUUGUAUAACUUUUUAUGUAAUGCUUUUAACAUUAAUCUUUGUUAUUAGCUUUUUACUGUUCAUUAAAAGCAACCGUGAAUUAUAACUAUUUAAAAUUUUUUAUUGGAUAUGUUAAUUAUUGUUGCUGUUUCCAUGUAUUUAACUACUGUUUAAGACCUGAUAAUGUCCAGUUCCAUUGCCUUUUUGAUCUCUCAAAAUCAUGACCAUCAUUGGAAUCUGAUGUGGUUAUGAAAGUCUUUACAAGAUUAUAAAUAGCACCAGCAAAUUUUUCAAUGCAGUGUAAUUGUCUUUUACUGCAUCUUUCUUGUGAUGAUGUAGCACUGAAAUGAAGACAAUUUUAUAUUUUGCAACCAUGAAGAAGCAGCAAUGCAGACUUGAAACUAUUGCCUGUCAGUUUAAUGUCAUAUUUAUAAUGAUGUUUACAAAUUUUGAAAUUAUUUUAGUAACUUUUAAGGACCUGCUGCAAUUUGUUAUGGCAACAAAGGGAGAGAGGUUUCAGAUUUUAUUAUUAAUUUUUUGCAUUAUUCAAAAAGCCCCAUUCUAUUUUGCAUUUACCGUGAGCAAAUAUUUAUUUCACCUUAAUUUUCUCGAUGUUUUUGUGUAGUGGGGACUAGGUCUUUUGAAUUGAGUUUGAAUUAUCCCCUUUAACCCCCCACUCCCCCGCUCUAAUUAUGGAUCAUUCUCUUUAUGUCGCCACUUCCCCAACAUUUGAGUUGAACACAUGAUGGUGAGAUAAGUUGGAACCGUGUAUUUCAGAUUUAGAUUAAAGUUAUGAAUGUACAAUUUCUCCAUUGAGGCAGUUAGCUGAAACGACUUGGCCUUUUCACACAUUAAUACAGAGAUAACACAGUACUUCAAGAAUUCAAAGAUAAUUGCUGGACUCAGCUUCAUGCAAGCUGAACUGUAUCUAUUUCUAUUUCAAGUAUUGUGGACAACUCCAGUAACCUCUACAAGGCUAAACUUAUGACUUAGUAAUCGAGCAAAAAGAUGAUCUGGAGGUAUUUUAAAGAGGCACACAAAAAACUGUAGGGCAAACCGCUAGGUGGUGAAGUCAUUGCAGGUGAUUUCAAUUUUUUGUGUGUGAUCUUGUUCAUCUUUUUGUACUGUAUAGAUCACACACUCUAAUUCGCUUACAACGAUUUUUUGCAGUUUGUUUAUAAAGAUUGCUUCCUGCAUUUGGACCAAGGAACCUGCUACUUUUAUGUUCAUAGUACGUUACACUACAGAUUCAUGUUUUUUGACUGGAAAAAACCAACUACACAUUUAUUUCACUACUCGGCUUUCUAACAAAAAGAAAGUCAACAGAUUAUGCUGGGUUUUGAGUUUUUAAAUGACAUCUAAGUCCCAGAGGAGACAUACAAUGUUCACCCUGUGAUAAUUAAAAUUGCUUACCCCUUG